rnacentral:rRNA from 1 species
GUGGAUUAGCUACCCUAGUAGUCCAUGCCGUAAACGAUGUCAACUAGCCGUUGGGGGAUUUGAUCCUUUAGUGGCGCAGCUAACGCGAUAAGUUGACCGCCUGGGGAGUACGGUCGUAAGACUAAAACUCAAAUGAAUUGACGGGGGCCCGCACAAGCGGUGGAGCAUGUGGUUUAAUUCGAUGCAACGCGAAGAACCUUACCUGGUCUUGACAUAGUGAGAAUUGGGCAGAGAUGCCCGAGUGCCUUCGGGAAUUCACAUACAGGUGCUGCAUGGUUGUCGCCAACU